rnacentral:sRNA from 1 species
GCUAACUAAAUAAAUCAAAUAUUUUUAGACGCGUGCGGACACUAUAUGCUUGCAUGGGAGAAAGCGAAGGGGAACUAUCCUUUGAGCCGAAUCAAAUAAUAACUAAUGUGCGCUUUUCACAUGAGCCUGGAUGGUUGCAGGGUACACUGAACGGUAAGACAGGACUCAUUCCGGAGAACUAUGUGGAACAUUUGAAGCCAUACAAUUAAAUCAUGUGAUUAUAGCGAUUCUUCUGCUUUUAACGUAUGUCUGUAAGAAGCGCUAUGAUUAUAUUGAUUUCCGCAUCUGCCGAUGAUAAAGUAGAAGUAGGAUGAAAUUCAACAACAAAAAUAUAUUGCUUGUACACAAAUUUUUUGUAUCUAUACGUUUUUAACUAUCAGCAAAGAUUUACUGAAUUACUGCUUUACGCUUCCAUUUGUUGCUUAAUUGUAAUAAAAUAAUUGUAACAAAUUUACAAAAAAUGUAUGUCUAUAAAUAUUACAGCAUUUUACGGCUUAUAAAAUAUUAAAACUACGAGAAUAAAAAAGGCGCUAAAAAGGGUAAAAUGUUCGACCAUGUUAUGUAAACCACAGAACUAUUUAUUAAAUCCAGACGUAUCCGAAAUUUGUAAAAAUAGUAUAAGAUUCACUGUGGAAUGAAUUUAUCAGCAUAUCAAAUAUACCAAAAAAUAUAAAGCCAAUACGCAUUUUUACCUUGCAUGACUCUUGUACUAUACCCACCAGAAUAUACAAAAAAUAUAAGGUUAAAACAAGGAACACAUUAAAGGACGCGGAUUAGCAUUCCAUACACACAAUGAAAAAUAAUGAUAUGCUGAAUAAAAAUAUUUACAUUAUACACCAUGAAAACUAAUAAUAUACUAAACCAAAAUAUGUUUGUUAACAUGUUGCCAAAAAUAAGUGAGUUUAUAUCAAAAUUAUAUAAAACUUACCUAUGAAUCUAGAAUAAAUGACAACUAAGCUUCUUUUGUAAAUGAGUCUUUGUAGUUUCAGUUAUUAGCAUGUCUGAAAUUAA